rnacentral:rRNA from 1 species
GACGAACGCUGGCGGUGUGCUUAACACAUGCAAGUCGAACGGUAAGGCCCUUUCGGGGGUACACGAGUGGCGAACGGGUGAGUAACACGUGAGUAACCUGCCCUCAUCUCUGGGAUAACAGUCGGAAACGGUUGCUAAUACUGGAUAUGAGCUUGCAAGGCAUCUUGUGGGUUGGAAAGAUUUUUUUUGGUUGGGGAUGGACUCGCGGCCUAUCGGCUUGUUGGUGAGGUAGUGGCUCACCAAGGCUUCGACGGGUAGCCGGCCUGAGAGGGCGACCGGCCACAUUGGGACUGAGAUACGGCCCAAACUCCUACGGGAGGCAGCAGUGGGGAAUAUUGCACAAUGGACGGAAGUCUGAUGCAGCAACGCCGCGUGCGGGAUGACGGCCUUCGGGUUGUAAACCGCUUUCAAUUGUGACGAAGCUUUUUUGUGACGGUAGCAGUAGAAGAAGCACCGGCUAACUACGUG